ACGCACGCUGGCGGCGUGCUUAACCCAUGCAAGUCGAACGGAAAGGCCCUGCUUGCAGGGUACUCGAGUGGCGAACGGGUGAGUAACACGUGGGUGAUCUGCCCUGCACUUCGGGAUAAGCCUGGGAAACUGGGUCUAAUACCGGAUAGGAGCCAUUUUUAGUGUGAUGGUUGGAAAGUUUUUUCGGUGUAGGAUGAGCUCGCGGCCUAUCAGCUUGUUGGUGGGGUAAUGGCCUACCAAGGCGGCGACGGGUAGCCGGCCUGAGAGGGUGGACGGCCACAUUGGGACUGAGAUACGGCCCAGACUCCUACGGGAGGCAGCAGUGGGGAAUAUUGCACAAUGGGCGCAAGCCGGAUGCAGCGACGCCGCGUGGGGGAUGACGGCCUUCGGGUUGUAAACUCCUUUCGCUAGGGACGAAGCUUUUUGUGACGGUACCUAGAUAAGAAGCACCGGCUAACUACGUG
rnacentral:rRNA from 1 species